GUAGGUGGCAAGCGUUGUCCGGAAUUAUUGGGCGUAAAGCGCGCGCAGGCGGUUCUUUAAGUCUGAUGUGAAAGCCCACGGCUCAACCGUGGAGGGUCAUUGGAAACUGGAGAACUUGAGUACAGAAGAGGAAAGCGGAAUUCCACGUGUAGCGGUGAAAUGCGUAGAGAUGUGGAGGAACACCAGUGGCGAAGGCGGCUUUCUGGUCUGUAACUGACGCUGAGGCGCGAAAGCGUGGGGAGCAAACAGGGAUUAGAUACCCUGGUAGUCCACGCCGUAAACGAUGAGUGCUAAGUGUUAGGGGGGUUUCCGCCCCUUAGUGCUGCAGCUAACGCAUUAAGCAUCCGCCUGGGGAUACGGCCGCAAGGCUG
rnacentral:rRNA from 1 species